AAAAGGUGGGGGUGGGGGAGAAGGUGCUGAAAUUCAAACCUAUGCAGUGUUAUUUCAUAGGAAUGCACGUUCGAUUUUUUCACAACAGCUUCCCCCAUGGAGUGACCUGGGAGAUACACAAGGUGCUUGUCCUGGGACAAUCAAUGGCCCAGAGCUUCCCUAGAAAAUACAGCUAGAAUCUUCUUGCCCCAGCCCUUCUUCUGGGUCCAGCAUUGCGCUGGCGCCAUCUAGUGAACAAACAUGAGAAGUUCCGCCAUGAGAGCCUGUGCCGCUGGCAAACCCAGCCUCUACCUGGGCCUGUGAAGGAAUGAGUUUCCAAGGGUGCGUUGGACCAGGAGCAGUGUUAUCCAGGAGCCAGUUAGAAUACAGAGGCUCGGGCUCCACCUCGGAGCUGUGGGAUCAGAGCUGGCUCAGCACUGUGGAUGCCACCACCAACAGCCCUUCACUGGACCCAGGUCCCUGAAGUGUGGCUACUCCACUUUAAAACCUUCCCAUUUGAAUGGAUGGAUGUUGAUGGCAUAGGGCUUUGCAUCGGGAACCCCUAUGUGGACCGUCGGUUUCAUCAGUGUGGGUGUGUUGGGACUAAUUGAAGUUACUAGAAGCUGUGCCUAGCUUAGAGGAUCAGAGGAUGGGGUUUU